UUAUUCACUUAGUUUUACAUGUUUAAACUUUUAUUACCUUCAAAGUAUUCUCCAUUUGAAGCAAUGCAUCAGUACAGAUGCAUUUUCCACUGUUUGAAGCAGUCCUGGAAUUCUUGCAAAUGCCUCCAUGGUUUUUUUUCUUCACUUCUUCCACAUCUGCAAACGUUUUCCUUUAAGGACUUUUUUGCAUUUGGAGGGACAAAAAAUGUUGCAGGGAGCAAGAUGGGUGAAUAGAGAGGUUGGUAAGUGAGGUCAUGCCAUUUUUAGUCAACAACUGUCUCAUACUCAAGGUGGUGUGCACAGGUGCAUUGUUGUAAUGAAACCACCACUCUCCACUUUGUCACAGGUCGGGGUGUUUUUGUCUUAUCGCGUCUUGCAAAUGCUUCAGAACUGCCAAGUAAAAUGUCUAGUUAACAAUUUGACCAGGAGGAACAAAUACUGCGUGGACAAUUCCUUUUGCAUCAAUGAAACAAAUCAUCAUCAUCUUGACAUUGGACUUCACUUGACACUCUUUUUGAGGGUGUGGUGACAUUGAAUGCUUCCAUUGACUUGAUUGCUGCUUCAUUUCUGGGUUGUAGCCAUAGCACCACCUUUCGUCACCAGUGAUGACCUUUGAAUAAAGGCUUGGAUCAGUUUUCAACUGUUCUUUCAGUUCACAACAUGCAUUCAGUCGUGACUGCUUUUGAUCUUCCGUGAGUAAGCGUGGCACAAAUUUUGCUGCAACUCUUUUCAUUCACAGUUCCCCACUCAAAAUUCAUUGGCAGGAGCUCCAGGACGCAUCAGUCAUAUCAACAAGUUUGUCAAUUAUUCAGCAGUGGUUCUCCAAGGUCAGUUCAUGAAUUUUCAUGAAGUUUUCAUUCAUUUGGGAGGUUGAUGUUGGCCCUGAAUGCGGUUGGUCUUCAAGCAACAAGUGACCAUUCCUAAAACAUGGGCACCAUCCUUGUAAGCUGUUUGAAGCAUGAGAACUGUUUCGGCCACUGUUUUCCCCAGCAGAAAACAGAAUUUCAUAGAAGCAUGCUGUUCCUUUCUUUCAGUCAUUGCAAAAAUUAACAAACAGGGAAGAAGCAUUGCAAAACAAAGAUGCAUCAUGUGACAGUAAGACUUCACACACCACUGCUGGUUGGCAGACAGAUGUCUGAGGGUCACAUCAAGUGGCUUCUAGUGGUGGAAGCCUGAACUACAACAGACUUGUCCCACAGAGGGUGUUUUCAGUUACUUUUGGUUACCCUCUCAUAUAUAAACAUAUACAUAUAUAUAUAUAUAUGCACAGGUAUAACUAAAGUUAUAGGGGCAGGCAUGCCUGUGUGGUGAUGCACUUUGCUUCUCAACCAGAUGGUUUCAGGUUCAGUCCUUGUAUUUUAAAAGGUACAGCCUUGUUAUACAAUGUGUCAUGCUGAUUUUUCUUGAGAAUUAGAUUUAUGGUACACGUCUGGGUGGAGGUGCAUGGCUUAGUGGUUGGGGAUGUUGGACUCAUGAUUGUAAGAUUGUAGUUUCAAUUCCUGUACCAAAUAAUGCGUUGUAUUCUUGAGCAAAAUGCUUCAUUUCAUGUUGUUCUAGUCCACUCAGCUGGCAAAAAUGAAUAAUCCCACAAUGGACCAGUGUCUCAUCCAGGUAGGGAAUCUAUACACCAUGCAAACCAGGAAACUGACCCUUAUGAAUUGGCACAACUCGAAAAAGUAACUUUACCUUUUUUUACACAUGCCUGUAGAAUGCUCAGCCGCUUUUACAUUAAUUCAGGAGUAGGUAAUUCAUUUGAUUUGACAAGUGAAUCCCCAUUGUCAAAUGACAGGGACCUAUCGUUCUCUGAUAUAACAUUUCAAUCUCAAUAACCAGAGAUCACUGUGCAUCUCAUGAGAUUAUGGAUCUGCAACUGAAAAGCUUCUCUCCAGAGCACAUGUUUGCAGUAUUCUUUUUGUUUUUAUGAUGUCAAAUUGGCUGAGUUGUUCAAGCAUCAGAUAGAAUACCUUGUGGUAUUUAUUCCUGCUCUUCUGUACUGUGGAUUCAAAUCUAAUUAAAGUUAACUUUAAUGUUCAUCCUUUCAUCUGUUCAUCCAUUUUAGUGGGGUCAAUAAGUAAAGUACCAGUUCAGCACUGUAGAUUGAUGAAAUUGUCAGGGUUGGAUGAGAUGCCUUGCUGUAUCUAUUCCAUUUCUUUGCAUUCUAACAGUCAUGUAUGCUCUGACAUUGAUGCCAAGCUGUAGUGGAAUCGCCUUUCUCUUAGAUGACAUUGAUGACAUCAAGAAAGUAGAUUUACUGGUCUCCUAUGUAAAAUAACAUUGAUAAAUAUCUCAUUUAUGUAGUGUAGUUGUUCUGGCUUUUAACCUCAUCAUUUGAUAUGUAAAAAAUGUUCUAAUAUUCAUAUCCACGCUAUGUGUUGACUAUUUUGGCUUGUGAUCAUUGUUAGGUGAUUUAUUCCAGAAUGUAUGGAGGUGUACAUUCAACCAAACUGGAUUUGAACUAAGAAUCUUUAUUUCUAAACGUUGGGUAAUAGUGUAUCAGUAAGUCAUUGCUCUUAGUUUGGAGAUGUACCUGGUUUGAAUCAAAUUUGAAACUUUGUACACUUCUAGAGAUGAGACAACAGCAACAGUGAUAAUAGUGUUGAUGACAACAAUGGUGAUGGCAGCAAUGAUGGCGAUGAGGAUGAUGAUGAUGGCAGUGAUGAUGGUGAUAUAAAAUUUAGUGUCAACAUAAAUAUUGGGAAAAGAAUUCUCAUCUCUAAAGUUGAAAUCAUUAUUAGUCUGAAAAGUUAUCAUCUUAUCAACAAUUCAAAUUUAGAUCAGCAAUUCUUAACCUGAGGGAAAUUUUAUGUCUGAGGAUAGAUUUUAGGAUAUCAAUAAAAACUUUGAAAACUUCAAUGGAGAAGUUGUUUUCAUAUUGAAAAAUUCUGCAUUAUUUGCAUUUAUUUUCAUUUGAUUUAUUUUCCUUAAUGCUAAUCUUUUAAUGAUGCCAAUAUUAAAUUAAAAUAAAGCUGUUAAUGUUAUGCAAUAAAUUGUGGUGUAUACAAGGCAUUUUCCUGAUGAUAUGUGAGUAAAGAAUCGGGAUGAUAAACUGGAAAAAGGAAGAAAUACUGAAAAAUGUUAAAAAAACACUGAUUUAUAUAGACUAAAAAAAUUACUAAGAACCUUAAAAAGGUAUUUUAUGUAAAGAAAUAAACUUUUUUUCAGUGAGAAAUAAUAUUUCAUUGGACUACUUAUAACAGCAUGGAAAGUAGAAGAUAAACAAUGAUGAUAAGUACUUGUUUGUCUGCUGUUUUUUAAAAAUUUUAUUCUUUUCUUUUGCAUGACAUUUGUCGAACUCUUUACCACUGAAGGCAGUUUUCCAGCAUGGUCGUGGCUGUUAUUACUAAACAAACUAAAAUACUAACGAUUCAAAAGUAUGAAAUGGUUCUUGGUAAAGAUUUUUAACAAGCUGUACAGCUUGUAUGAUUUUAUAAACUUGUUUGUAUUUUGUAAAAUACCCAAUAUUUUAUGUUCAUUGCUGUGUUAAUUUGUUAUUUUGAAUAUAACCUAACAAAAGUUUCUUACAUGGAAUUACAAUGGAUGGUCUUUUAUUGAAAUAUGAAAAUUUCAAGACCAGUGGUUGUCUAUCUGAAACCAAGAAGUGGUAUUGGACAGGUAUGUAUAAAACAGAUUAAACUUUGCUAAUCAUCUUCAAUAGUUUAUAACCUCUUUUAGAGCAGCCUCUUAAUCAAGGAGUCUUGUCUUUCAAGUUACUGGGCAAUUUCAGUAGCACCAAUGACAUGAAAAUGUACCCAGCACAUCCUCUAAUGUGGUCAGCAUUAGAAAGGGAGUUCAGUUGUGGGGACCAUGCCAAAACAGACAAUGGAGGUCAACCAGUCAGAUCUUGUCAAACCAUCCAACUCAUGCCAGCAUGGAACAUGGGCAUUAAAUGUUGAUGAUAAUGAUGAUGAUGAAGAUGAUGACGACGACGACGACAACAAUGACGACAAUGAAAGCAAUAGAGUUGAAAUAGGUUUUUGGCUGAUUCUCAAAGUAAUGCUUAGUAGUUAGAUAGGAAGCCAGGGGUUGUAAGCAGCCAAAUUUCUCUCAGAGACUUCUUGAAAAGAAGUCUAAAUCUAAAAUUGGGUGACAAUGCUGGAGUAACUUUCAUCAAAGAUCUGUCCAAUUAGAGCUGGCUUGGUGUUAAUCAACAGUGACAACAACAACAGCACACGUGCAUAUAUACAAACAUGCACACAAAACACAAUGCAAUGAAUAAGACACAAUACUCCAACAUGACAAGAACGAAGCUCACAAAUACCUAAGCUAAAGAAUUACAUAUCAGUUAGUUAAGAUUGAUCUCGUCAUGGUCAUUUAUUAUUUAAGCUUAAAAGUUGGCAAGCUGGCAGAAUUGCUUGCAUGCUGGACAAAAUGGUUAGUUGCAUUUCUUCAGAUUUUAUGUUUUGAGUUUAAAUUCCCCUGAGGUUGACUUUACCUUUUAUCCUUUUAGCAUCAAUGAAAUAAGUAUGAGUUGAACACUGGGGCCAAUGUAACUGAUGACUCCCUCCCGCAAAAUUUCAGACCUUGUGCAUAUGGAAGAAAGAAUUAAUUAGUGUUGGUUACUGAGUUUUCAAUUUUAUAACUAAAUCCAACUUCCUACACAAUAAAUUUUUCUCAUUAUCAUUUAGAAUAUAAUGAGUAAUUAUUCUCAAAUAGAUUUACUACUUCUGUCAGUUAUAUGAAAUUUCAUAUUUUAGUAAUUUUAACCAUUGUUGGUGCCUAGACUCAGGCCAAUUUUGAUUGAGUAGACCUGUGAUCAAAGACACUUCAGUUGUGAAUGUCUCUUUGUAUAUCUAUGAAUACAUUGUUCAGAUUUUUACAACAGUAGGGUGUGAACUUUCUAUUUCUAGCAAACUGAGUGACUGCAUAAAAGAUUUUCUUAUUGCCAUAUAUUUGUAACUAUUGUUGCUUGGCACCAGAUCAGCUGUUAUUAAGCAAAUUUAUAAUGAAACACAUUCUAGGACACAGCAUACAAGGUGGUACCCAAACGAAACUGGAAUUUUGCAAUAUUAUUUGAUUCACUUAGUUUUACAUGUUUACGCUUUUAUCACCUUCAAAGUAUUCUCCAUUUGAAGUAAUGCAUUAGUCCAGACACAUUUUCCACUGUUCAAAGCAGUGCUGGAACUCUUGCAAAGUGAUGGCUUUUAAUGCCUCCGUUGUUUUUUCCUUCACCUCUUCUACAUCUGGAAAUUCUGUAGCACCAGUUUUGUUAUCAGUGAUGACCUUCGAAAAAAGGACUGGAUCAAGUUCAGUUCACGACAUGCAUUCGGUCAUGACUGCUUUUGAUCUUCCAUGAGCAAGUGAGGCACAAAUUUUGCUUCAACUCUUUUCACUUGCAAUUCCUUAUUCAAAAUUUGUUGACAAGAGCUCCAGUACACACUGGUCAUAACAAACUCAUCAAUUGUUUGGUGAUGGUUCCUGAAUUUUCAUGAUGUUUUCUUUCAUUUGGGAGGUCGAUGGCUGUCCUGAAUGAAGUUGGUCUUCAAACAACAAGUGACCAUUCCUAAAGCAGGGAAACUACUUGUAAGCUUGUGUUUUGCUCAAGGCAGUAUCCUUGUAAGCUGUUUGAGAUACGACAACUAUUUUGGUCACCAUUUUCCCCAGCAGAAAACAGAAUUUCAUGGAAGCAUGCUGUUCCUUUGUUUCAGCCAUUGCAAAAAUUGACAAACAGGGAAGAAGCACUGUAAAAUAAAAACACACCACAUGGCAGUAUGACACCACACGAUGCUGCCGGUUGACAGACUGAUGCUUGAGGGUCACAUCACGUGGCGUCUAGCUGCAGAAGCCUGAACUACAACAAGUUUAUCCCUCAGAUAACAUUUCCGGUUACUUUUGGGUACCCCUCAUAUGUUUCACUACCCAAUGUAUGCUUUUUUUUUUAUAAUGAUGCAAUAGGAAGGAGAUUGGGCUGUUGUUUCUUGCAGGUUAAAUGACCACAUAGAGGCUCUCACAUUAGCUAGUAUUUUAAGUUGUUCAUUGUUAUGUUGGCAUAUGGAAAUACAACAUAAUAAUACAUGGGAAUGAAUCAGAGUUAUUUUAAGGGAGAUAGUUUUCAUUUUUAGUUUUUAAAUCCCUGGAUGUAAGUUAUAAUUGCUAAUUAUAAAUGCAAAUAAUGGCAUCAAAAUAUUUUUAUUCUCUAUUUUUCAAAGAAAUUUUUUACCAAAACAGAAAAUAAAAGGAAAAUACUUUUAAAAAGAAUCAAUAUUCUCUCAUUAAAAAGAAUAAAUAACUUGACUGAAAUAGAAAUAUAUUUAUCUAUGAUAGGAAAACUAAUUGUCAGGAGAUGGUGAAGAGAACAGACACACAUACACACAGAGGCAUGGAUGUGUGGUAAGAUAUUUGCUUCCCAAUGACAUGAUUUUCAGUUCAGUUCUACUGUAUGUCAAACAAAAUCACUCCAGAAGUAACCACAAAAAUGACAGAUAUGUAUUUCACUAUAGUUGCAGCUGAUCCAUAUGUACACGAUGGACUGCCUCACAGUUUUCACUUAUCAGAUUUAUUCACAAGGUAUUGGUUGGCCUGAACACUUGCCCCUUCCCUCUAUGUCAGCCUGACUGAGCAACUUUAUGGUCUAAAGUGCUCCAUCAUUGAUAAUCUUGGCUUCCUAUUCAGACAUGAUUGAUCCUCUGUUGGUUUUGACAACUGUCAGUUGUUCAAUUAACUAACCUAGCUGCUUAUUAAAGUAACGUGUGAAUGGCUGAAUAUCCCAUCUAUGACACAUGUUUUCUUAAUAUAAUUCUUCGGUACCACCGGACUGGCCCUCGUGCUGGUGGCAUGUAAAAAGCACCCACUACACUCUCAGAGUGGUUGGCGUUAGGAAGGGCAUCCAAAUGUAGAAACUCUGCCAGAUCAGAUUGGAGUUGGGUGUAGCCAUCUGGUUCACCAGUCCCCAGUCAAAUCGUCCAACCCAUACUAGCAUGGAAAGUGGACGUUAAAUGAUGAUGAUGCCAAAUCAGUCAAGCACAAUAUGUGACAAAGCUGUUACAGUUCAUCUUUAUUCUUUUACUUGUUUCAGUCAUUUGACUGUGACCAUGCUGGAGCACCACCUGAUGGGUUUCCACACAAAAUUUCUUUCUACCCACUUUCACUCACAAGACUUACCACUUCAUGCAUGGUGCUACAGUUUAGCAUGAUGUCAUGUGACUUUAUGGUUAGGGUGUUACACUCAUGAUUGCAAGAUCAUGGUUUCAAUUCCAUGACCAGCAGUAAUUGUAUUUUAGAGCAAAACACUUUAUCUCAUGCUCCUCCAGUCCCCUCAGCUGUAAAUAGGUAAUCCUGCAAUGGAUUGGAAUUCUGUUGAGAAAUAACAUUGGCCUGCUUAUCCAGCCAGUAUGAUGGCAUCAUUUUAAAGCUACAACAAUGCAAGGAAGUGCAGUAUCCAUUAGUCUGGUUGAUACAGUGAUUACUGUGUAGUACUGUCAUGUAGCUAGCUGUUAGUAGGUACCACAUGGUGGUAUAGUUCUUUAUAGUAAGCAGGGUACCAUUUUGCUAUAGUAAAGCAGCUGUUUCUUGGUAUGUUAUGGUGGUAUAGUUCUCCAUUGUAAGCAGGGUACUAUUGUGCAAUAGUAAUGCAGCUGUUCAUAGGUACCUCAUGAUGGUAUAGUUUCCCAUUGUAAGCAAGAUACUAUUGUGCUAUAGUAAUGCAGCUAUUCAUACGUACCUCAUGAUAUAGUUCUCCAUAGUAAGCAGGGUACUAUUUUGCUAUAGUAAUGCGGCUCUUCAUAGGUACCUCAUGGUGGCAUGCUUCUCCAUUGUAAGCAGGGUACUAUUGUGCUAUAGUAAUGCAGUUGUUAGUAGGUACCUCGUGGUGGUAUAGUUUUCCAUAGUAAGCAGGGUACUAUUGUGCUACAGUAAUGCAGUUGAUAGCAGAUGCCUCAAGAUGGUAUAGCUCUGCAGAAUAUCUAUGUUAAUAUAACAAACUUAAGCUGUGUGGGAGAGGUGAGAUUAUAAAUAUAAUACACUUGGCUAUGACAGUCAUAAUAUUCAGAUUCAGUAAUAAAUUGCAAGUCAGAUUAACUGAAGCAUUAGGAAACUAUACACUACCUUGUAAGCUUGUUCUAAAUCUGAUAUGGGUAGCAUAGUCUUAAUGUGUAAACAGAGAGGAAGGGGGCCUGGUAAACAUAACUAUUACAAAGUAAUUAUUGUGGUUCUUGAAAGAUUCCUAGAAGCAAGCAAAAUUACACUGUAUAGGAUAAGGUAACAUGGGUAAUACAAAAAAUGAUUUUCUAUAUAUAAAGAGUGAAUUUGGUAGAAGGAAUCUGUGUGGAAGUCUAUGAUAUAUAUACCAUCUUCAUUAUCAUCAUCACCGUCAUCAGUUAGCAUCUGCUUUCCAUGCUGGCAUGGGUUAGACGGUUUGACUGAAACUAGUAAGCUGGGAAGCUGAACGAAGUUCCAAUCUGAUUUGGCAUGGUUUCUACAACUGGAUGCCCUUCCUAAAGCCAACCACUUCAAGAGUGUAAUGGGUGCUUUUUACGUGCCACUGGCAUGGGUACCAGUUACAUGGCACUGGUAUCAGCCACAACUAUGAUUUCUCUAAGCUUGAUGAGUCUUCUCAAGCACUGGCAUAUUGCCAAAGGCCUCAGUCACUUGUCAUCACCUCUGUGAAGCCCAACGUUUGAAGGGUGCUUUUCACUAGCAUAGGUGCCAGUUAUGUGACAUUGGCAUCGUCUUUGUGUUUGUCUUUGACCCACACAGUGCUUAACAACUGGUUUUGGUUUUUAUAUGUCCUUGUAGCUUGGUGGUUUGGCAAAUGUGACCAAUAGAAUAAGUAGCAAACUUAAAAAAGCAAAAUAAGUACAAAGUGGUGCACCAGUAUGGUUGCAGUCAAAUGAAUGAAACAAGUAAAAGAUAAAGAUAGGAAAACAUUGGACACAUUAGGGGUUAAUGAUGCUAAAGAAAAGGUUUAAAUAAGACCAAAACAAUGUAAAAGAUAUGAAGGAUAAAAUCAAGACAAAACUCACAAAAAUAGCAAGAAAAAAUGGAGAAAACAAACUUCUCUGUGACCAGCAUCCGGCAAUAUUCAACAGAAAGGAAGUGAAGCAAUAUUAAAGUCAGCAAUAACUCAAAAGAUCGGGAAUAAAUGUAAAAACAAAUCUAAUUUUAGAUGUGUAAGAUUAAUACCGAAACCACGAAACAAUGCUAAAAUUAAGUAAUAAAAUGGAAAUUCAUGUCAACUGCUAACUAUGCAAUCAUCAAAGUUUGCUGUUGACAUAAAUUAACAUAAUUUAUGGGUGAUUUUUGUAAAGACAAAAUAUAUCCACAUAUAUUAUUAGGUAGCUAUAAUAGGUGCAGGAGUGGCUGUGUGGUAAGAUGUUUGCUUCCCAGCCAAAAUGGUUCCAAGUUGAGUCUCACUGUGUGACACCUUGGGCAAGUGUCUUCUACUAUAGCAUUGGGUUGACCAAAGUCUUGUGAGUGAAUUUGGUGAAUGGAAGAUGAAGCAAGCUUGUUAUAUAUAUGUAUGUGUCAUCAUUAUUAUCAUUUAACGUCCGUUAUCCAUGCUGGCAUGGGUUGGAUGGUUUGACUGGCCUGGCUCGCUGGAAGGCGUGAAGUAUUCUUUACAUGCCACCAGCAUGGGUGCACUUGGCUUGAUGGGUCCUCUCAAGCACAGCACAUUGCCAAAAGUCUUGGUCACUAGUCAUUGCCUCUGUGAGGCUCAAAGUUUGAAGAUCAUGCUUCAUCACCUAGUUCCAUGUCCUCCUGGGUCUACCUCUACAACAGGUUCCCUCCACAGUUAGAUAUCAGCACUUCUUUACAUGGCUGUCCUCGUCCAUAUGCAUCACAUGACCAUACCAGUGCAGUUGUCUCUCUUGCAAACCACAUCUUAUUCCUCUUAUGCUUAACUUUUCUCUCAAGAUGCUUACGUUCUGUUGAACAUGCAUACUGACAUUACACAUCCAGCGAAGCAUAUUGACUUCAUUUCUUUCAAGCCUACGCAUGUCCUCAGCUAUCACAGUCCAUGUUUCACAGCCAUGCAGCAUUGCUGUUCGCACACAGGUAUCAAACAAUCUGCCUUUCAUUCUGAGAGAGAGGCCUUUUGUUUCCAGCAGCGGUAGAAACUCUCUUAACUUUGCCCAUCCUAAUUUUAUUCUCAUAACUAUGCUCUUGGAGCAUCCACCUCCAUUACUAACUUUGUUACCUAGAUAACGAAAGCAGUUGAUGGAGUCUAUUUUCUGCUCAUUUUCAGCGUUUAUUGUACUUGUAUAUCUUUCAAAUACAAAAGCUAGUUUCCCUAUUAACCUUCCUCUGAUAUUGCUGCUCCUUUUAUGUGUCCAAAGCUUACACUGGGUGCAUCUUAUGGAGUUUCUCCCUACACCUUUUCUACAGUUUGAGCAGGACCAUCUACCUGAAGGGAUUUGUGAUUUGUCUGUCUUCCUACUCACUAAGACUUUGGUUUUUGCUAGGUUAACUCUACAGCCCUUUGAUUCUAGACAUUGCUUUUAUACCUGAAACUUCUUUAGCUCAGGUAAUGAUUCAAUUAUAUGAACAAGGUUAUCGGCAUAGAUGAGCUCCCAAGGGCAGCCUGUCUUAUAUUCCUCUGCUAUUGCCAGGAGGACUAUGAUGAAUAAGAGGGGGCUGAUCACCGAUCCUUGGUGAACCCCUACCUGUACUCUGAUUUCUUCACUGGACUCAUUGCCAACCCUCACCUUACUGGAAGCAUCCCUAUACAUAGCUUGUACAGUUCUCACCAACUACUUGUCUAUCCAUAACUUCUGCAUUGACCACCAGAUAAGGGAUCAGGAGACCCUGUCAAAGGCUUUCCCCAAGUCAACAAAGGCUAAGUACAGAGGUUUAUCUUUGGCUAUGUAUUUCUCCUGCAGCUGUCUCACCAGAAAUAUAGCAUCAGUAGUGGUUCUCCCUGGCACUAAACUAAACUGCUACUCAUCUAAGUUAACUAUCUUCCUAACUAGUUGGGCUAUGGCUCUCUCCAUAACUUUCAUCACCUGACCCAGCAAUUUGAUACUUCUGUAAUUAUUUCUAUCUUAAGCAUCACCUUUACCUUUGUGGCAGUUGACGAUGGUGCUGCUACACCAGUCAUUGGAUAUGACUCAUUCAUGAACCACCUGAUGGUAACAAUAUAGGUACCUAGACUAUAACACACAUCGCAGAUAUUUUAAGCAUCUCAGCAGUUAUUCCUGAUGGGCCAGGGGCUUUUUCUGUUUUCAUAUCCUUAAUUGCUUUAUCUACCAAGGAACUGUUGAUUCAGGUAGCAGGUCCCUCAAUUGGGUCAACAUUUGGCAGACUUUCCUCCUCCCACUCAUUCUCUGUGUUCAGCAAUCUUUCAUAAUGGCAUUUCCAAGCCUCCUUUUUUGCAGAAUCAUUACAUGCAAGUGCACCAUCAUCCAUAUGGACACGUUUCUCUCCUGUGACAUCACAAUUUUCUCUCACACACUGUCUUGCAAUCCGAAACACUUUAGUUCUUUGGUCCUCAUGUCACUGAACAUUUCUUUUCUGCUUCUCCCUUGAUUAGAUAUAUUUGUAUCCUAGCAUCCCUUCUGGCAAUCUGACACAGUACCCUGCUACCCCCAUUCUUCCAGGCAUUCCACUGGAAUUUUGCACCAGCCACUGAUCUGGUCUGUGGCACUCAUCAAGCUAUUCCUCAACAAUUCUCAGUUGCCCUCUAUGUCACAAGUCUGUAGCUCCUCCUCCCUUUCAUUUCUCAAUUUCUCAGUUAGGAUGUCCUUAAAUCUCUGACCAUAUGAAAGGUCCUUUAGCUUCCAAAUCCUUCUUUUCCAAAUUGGUUUGCUUCUUGGCAUCCUUUUGGCUUGGAGUCUAAAGUCACUUUUGACUAGACUAUGCUGUGGGGUACAUUCUUCACCAAGGAGGGACUUUGCAUUUAGGAACAACCAUGCAUCCUGCUGUUUGGUGAGAAUGUAUAAAUAUAUAUGUCUACAUGUGUGUCUUUGUGUCAAUAUUUGUCCCCCAUCAUUGCUUGACAAUUGGUAUUGUUGUGUUUACAUCCCUAUAAGUUUGUGGUUUGACAAAAGUGACCGAUAGAAUAAGUACCAAGCUUUACAAACUGUUGUGUGGACGACCCCAGGCGAUAAGUAGGCUAGUCCACUAUGUAUAAAUAGCUAGAUGAAAAGUGUUGCGUAGAGCGAGCCACAGCCGUCGGUAGACUAGACAUAGAGUUGUUGGAAGUGAGAGUUGAGUAGUUGUGUAGAGGUCAUCCGCACGUGUGAUAUAACAAACAAAGAAAGAAAAUAAGUUCUGUGGUCGAUUCGUUUCACUAAAUUUCUUCAAGUUAGUGCCCCAGUAUGACCACAGCUGAAUGACUGAAACAUGUAAAUGAUAAGAGAUUGUAAUUGCGUAACAUGCAGAUUCUUCCACAUGCAAACUGAUGAUAAACAAUAUCAAUAUAGUUUGAAUCUAGUAUGUAUCAAUGGCUAUGAUACUAUGGAAUAUGUCGAGACUGAUAAAGAGAUAGAAAAAGAGCCACCCUGAUAUCAUGAACACAGACCAAAAUGAAACACUGUACAUUUUUAUUUCUUUAUUGCCCACAAGGGGCUAAACAUAAAGGGGACAAACAAGGACAGACAAAGGGAUUAAGUCGAUUACAUCGACCUCAGUGCGUAACUGGUACUUAAUUUAUCGACCCCGAAAGGAUGAAAGGGAAAGUCAACCUCGGCGGAAUUUGAACUCAGAAGGUAACAGCAGACGAAAUACCGCUAAGCAUUUCACCCGGCGUGCUAACGUUUCUGCCAGCUCGCCGCCUGUACAUUCUGAUAAGCAUCAUGAUUUCUUUUAAUCAAAAUUCUUCUGGAAGAUAACAGACAUUACCAAAGUAUAAGGACUUUGAGCUGGAAGUAAUUGUACUAGUUGUAACUGGCAAAUUAACCCUUUUAUUGCAAAAAUUAAAUUUCAUGGUUAUUCCAGAAAUGAUCUUAAAUAUGUACCAAAAAAUAGUUGAAAAUAAUUUAAAGCAUCACUUAGUCGAGGUGAUCUUAAUUUUGGGAGCUAUAUGAAGAGAAAAUGCACCCAGUACACUCUAAAGUGGUUGAUGUUGGGAAGGGUAUCCAGUUGAAGAAACUAUGCCAAAGCAGACACUGGGAUAUGACUCAGUCUUUCAACUUGUCAGAUCCUGUCAAACCAUUCAACUCAUGCCAGCAUGAAAGACAGAUAGAUGUUAAAAGAUGAUAAUGACACACGUAUACACACACACACACACACACACACGGCAUUCAGGCUAAAUUUGUCAAACGUUUAUGCCACCUUUUUUUUCAGGAACAACUUAAUAUAUUGGUGAAACAUCAAUGGCAUUGGAGAGCAUAAAGAUUAAAGAUGUAGUUGAAAAGAAGUUAGCUGACAUGGAGGACUGGAAGCCAUCUGAAUACUGGAAAAGAAUUACCUGUAUCAUGAUGAUUUGUACUGGGUAUCAAGAUGCUGACAUCAUGACUCAGUGCUCUGUGAACAGUGUAAAGGCCGUAAGACAUGACUUGGACAGCUGCAAUGAAGACUACAAAGCUGUAGGGGACAGAACAGGCAUUCUGAUUGAGUCUGCACACUGGAAUUCAUCCAUCAACUGCAGGACAAGGUGAUGGAAGAUCUGAAAAGGGAAUUCAGGAUUUGGUGAGGGAGAUGUAUGUUGGAGUCACCACCAUAAAGCUGGCCAUGAAUGAAGGCCUUCACUAUCACUUGUACAAGAGGUACAAGAGAUGAAUUUUGAUAGCUAAGGCCAAUGCGAACCACUUGGUAAAGAAAAAACUCCUGAACAAGCUGAGACAUCUUGUUGACCCAGGGAUGAUCUGGUUCUUCUCAAACAGAAAGAAUUUCUGCCGGGAGCAGUUGCACAACAUCCAGAACAACAGGUGGCUUACCUACAAUCCAUGUAAUGACCCACAUGUCAUGAAAACUAAGUUUCCCCAAAGUAUGAUGUGUCUCCAGUGAGGGUGAUGCCAUGUUGCCACACAUCUUUGAACAGAGUCUUAGGCUCAAUUCAAAUGGCGAUGUGAAGCUGCUGGAGAUGAGAUCAAACCCUGGCUGGAGAAUGUUGCUGCUGAAAGGCAAUAUGUGUGGUACUAGGAUUUAACUUUUUGCUAUACCCCCAGAAAGAGUCAGAAGUGGUUGUCAGAGAAUUUCUAUGACUUUACCAGCCCCAAUUUUUGGCCUCCUAAUUCCUCUAAUUCUGAUCUUAUGGAUUACUAUGUGGGGCAUGGUUGAGAAAGACACCAACUACUUUGCCUGCAACACCAAGGUUGAACUGGUGGCCAAGAUCAAGGUGUUGUUUGAAGAUGUUCCCAGGGACACAGUGAAGAAUGCCUGCCCCAGGCUCUGGAGCUGACUUGAAGCUGUUGUGGAAGCUGAGGGUUGCUACUUCGAGUAAACUGUUAGAUCCUUGUGUAUAUAUAUAUGACAGGCUUCCUGCAGCAUCUGUCUAUCAAAUUCACUCACCAGACAUCAGUAAGCCAAAGGUUAUAACAGAAGACGCUGACUUAUCCAAAGUGGUGUACAGUGGGACCAAACCUGAAACUACAUGACAAUACCUGUACUUGUUUAUUGAAGGAGAUAACUGUAGCAGCACUUUGAACACACCCUGCAAAACACUGCUUUUCACAGUUGACUAGUUUGCAGAUGGGAUGUAAAGCUUAAAGUUUUGAGUUAUACUGGGCAAAAACACUACAGAGAUAUAUUGAAUACUCCAGAUUGCUUAUGGAUUAACUUCUAUGAGCCAAGCAUCUGUUUUUCAAUGGCACAAAAGGUUCAAAGACAGCAGAGAGGAGGUGAAAGAUGAUAUGGGAGGGAUGUCAGAACAUCAGACCUGGUUGAGAAAAUUUGCUCAUUGUAUGUCUAUGAAGACAAUAAGAUUACAGUUUGGAGUUGGUGAAGCAACAGUACACAGAAUUAAUCAUGAAGAUCUGAACAUGAGCAAAAUUUGUGCAAAGUUUCUUCCCAGGGUGCUCAGUGAUGAACAGGAGGAAAGACUUGUUGACUGUAGGGAGAUGGUUGAGCUCAUUACCUCCAAUCCAAGAGAGCGUGAGACUUUGGUGACCUGUGAUGAAAGCAGGAUCUACUGCUAUGAUCCAAAGUCCAUGAGGCCAUUGCCUCCUGGCUCUCUAUUGUAAAACAGUCUUUUACCACUUUUGUAUCUGUCUUUUGACAACAGUUGUCGCUCUGACAGAUAUUGUUAUAUUCCAAAUUCGUUGAUAGAGUGGUUCUAUCUGGCACUGUACAACCCCCAGUCAUACAGUGUUAUUAUCCUCAAAUGGUUGGAAUGUUAUAACGUCCACUCAGUACCACAAUAAAGUUACUAUAUCAGCACAGACAUGACUAUCAACACAAACUACAUGUACUUUUGACCUUCUGUCAAUCAGCUACUGGUCUAUUUAUAAUGGCUGGUUACUACCACUUUUUACUGAGAGGGGUGUACAGUUUCACUAUACAACACUCUGAUACCCAAGAAGGCCAGGCAAAGCAAGUCCACUAGAAAGCUCAUGAGGAUCCCCUUUUUCAACAGCAAUGGUAUCCACUACACCCACUGAGUUCCCUCUAACCAGAUGGUCAACAAAGACUACUUUAUGCAGGUUUUGAGGUAGUUCAGGAAGAGAUUUUGUCAUAAAAGACCAGGGUGUCUGUACCAGAACAAUGCACCAAUCCACAAUUCCAUUCUGGUAAUAAACUACUUGAGAUGAGCAUCAAAACUAUUUCUCAUCCUCCAUACAGUCCUCCCUACAUUGAGAAGAUGAAGGAAACUGACAAGGGUCCUGGAUACCUUCAUUUUGUGAGACUUACAUGGGGCCUUCAUGAAGUGGCUGGAGUGCUGUAACAAGGGCAUUGAAGUCAGAGGAUCCUACCUUGUAGAUUAGAGUUUUGUACUUUGCAAUAAAUAAAUCUCUCUCCUAAAAAGUCUCAAAACUUCUGGAAUACAUGUGGAGUUUACUAUAGUUCAAAGGAAUAUGACCAAUUCAAAGCCAACAAGUCUUUACUCAGUGUAUGAUAUUUUCUGGCAUACCAGUCAAAUAUUUUAGACCAAAAUUUACAGCCCCAAACAGUAGGUUGGUUUGUAAUACACCAAAGUGACUUUGGAGGACCAAAAAUUUCAAACAAUGAGGAUUUGGAAAGAUGUUAAAAUGCUUACACUAAAUACUGUCAACCUUUAUACCAGAAAAUGCAGUGUACAUUGACAGACCUGACAGGAAUAGUCAUGUACUAAAGUUUGAUAGUUUAUCUCUGAAUUCUUCCAGUAUUUUUACCCCUUUGACUAAUUAUACCUUCAGUGAAUGACUUUAAAAUAUAAUGCAUGCAUGUAUGCAUGUACAUAUGCAUGUAUGUUGUUAUUUUAUGAUUGCAUGAAUAGAUAUUUAACAUGCAACAAUGUUUGUGCAUAGAUAUAUUCAGUUUACAGUUAUAUAGUAAAGUAGAAGGAGUGUUUUAUUCCUGUUUUUAAUUACUUUCUUUAUUUUGCUUACAAAUUUGUUUGUAUUUCUGUGACUCCUCCUCCUCCUUUUCCUUCUCAAACUUUGUUCAAAUAGGAAAGAGUUUUUUUAGUCAACAGGCCUGCAAAGAUUCUGAUACAGAUCCCAGUCAACAUAUCCAAGUUUCCUUUAGUGCUGUUGUAUUCUAAGCAGCCAUUUCAAAAUGAAAUUGAAAAAUUAUUUCAACUUUGUUAUUAUUUGUUUCACUUUGAAGAGGAGCUUUUAUGUUCAAAAUAUUGUAAGAUAAAAUAAAUGUUAUUUGUUUUAUAGAAAACAAAA